CCCGUAGAUGUUCUGGGCCGCACGCGCGCUACACUGUUCGACGCAGCGAGUCUUAACCUUGACCGAAAGGUUUGGGUAAUCUUCAGCAAAGUCGAACGUGAUGGGGAUCGAUCAUUGCAAUUAUUGAUCGUGAACGAGGAAUUCCUAGUAAGUGCAAGUCAUCAGCUUGCGCUGAUUACGUCCCUGCCCUUUGUACACACCGCCCGUCGCUACUACCGAUUGAAUGGUUUAGUGAGAUCUCUGGAUUGACGCUGGCUAGGGGGCGACCCUUGGCCAGACUGUUGAGAAACUGCUCAAACUUGAUCAUUUAGAGGAAGUAAAAGUCGUAACA
rnacentral:rRNA from 1 species